UCAAUGACGUCAAACUCGAUCGUGUCCACUGUUACAAAUACUUGGGUGUCUAUCUUAGCUUUAAUAAAUUGAGUUAAUCACGUUGCCAUAUUACUGCCAUAAUUCAUACACAGAAUCUGCCAUAAUUUAUAGGCAAAUUCCAUAAUUUUAACAUUGCGGCACAACAAUUUGGUCCGGCUGGCAUCAUGCCCAAAAGAAGAAGAAGAAGAGUAGGUUCACGGGCCGGCCUGCGUAGCGACAUAAACAUUACUUUUUCUCGUGUUUUCCUUCAAACUACAAUGAAGAGAAGAUCCACAGCCUGUAAGAAGAAGGUGGAGAGUACAUUGACGGCCAGGGAAAGGAAGAAAAACUGCAGAGAAGCCUUCAUAUGACGAAAGGGCCCUUCCACUACACCACCACCACCACCACAUCACCACACUAAGGUGGUGAGGCAGAGUGCUGUCCCUGCCACUGUCCACCACAACCACCGCUGGCUGAAGGAGGUCACGCUGGGCUGCUUCUGCUGCUUCAGGGGAGAGAUGGCCCAGGGGAACCAUGUGUCUCACCCUGCACCAGCUGACCAGAGGUGCCAGGUUCCUGCACAGGUGAACGGAGGUGGAGUCAUGGCUUUGGGGCGGCUUGCUAAAAAGGUCAGAUGAGCCACAACGGGCGCAGGUCACAACAGGUCACCACAUGAAGGUCGGAGGUCACACAGCCACCGUCCACGACCUGACCCCUAAGAGUGGAUACCAGCUGUCUGGAGGGGAUACGGAAGUGGAUUCCUUACAGCAUCGGAACUCCCGUCAAGAUCUGGGUCACCCUCGGAGUCUCGUCACUGGAAACUUCCCGAGGAGCUGCGUCAGCACCUCGCACUCCAUCUCCAAGCUGACCCAGGACUGUCCCAGGUUAAGCUGCAUGACAUAACCUAUACUAAGAUCGAACCCGCCCGCAACCUCAAGAUCAAGUACGGGUCAGCCAAGACACCGUAGCCUUUGCCUUUGCUUUGCUUUGUGUGUGUGUGUGUGUGUGUGUACAGUCCCCCAUACAGGGCCUAUAGCUGUACUAAGAUUCCUUCAUUUGAUCCAUAUAUUAAUUCAUUUGCAAGCAAUCUGAAUUUAUACGCUUAAUUUUACUCUCAACAAAUUCACGGGGGGCCAAAGUCUGUCUUCUUAAACGUAUAGGCACCUCAGUUCACCUGUUUGCAAAGUCUCUCAUAGCAGUUGGUGAGCUUUCCAUGGAAUGUUUAGUGAUGCCAGUGAUAGUUUCAUGUGACUUCUGCAUCUUGAGAGGAGAAACACACCCUUGAAAACCCUGAUAAUCAUCUCUGUGGCCUUGGGAAACAGUUGUUAUGGGAGAUCAAUAUGUAUCACAAUAUUGACCUAAGAACACCCAAUUCUUUAUCUUUCCAAAGCAUGAGUGACCCCCAAACACUCCU